UGCAAAGAAAUCCCCGAAUCUAAUUUCUUUU
rnacentral:piRNA from 1 species